GAUGAAGAACGCAGCGAAAUGCGAUAAGUAAUGUGAAUUGCAGAAUUCAGUGAAUCAUCGAAUCUUUGAACGCACAUUGCGCCCGCUAGUAUUCUGGCGGGCAUGCCUGUCCGAGCGUCAUUUCAACCCUCAAGCCCCCGGGCUUGGUGUUGGGGAUCGGCGAGCCUCCGCGCCCGCCGUCCCCUAAAUCUAGUGGCGGUCUCGCUGUAGCUUCCUCUGCGUAGUAGCACACCUCGCACUGGGAAACAGCGCGGCCGCGCCGUUAAACCCCCAACUUCUGAACGUUUGACCUCGGAUCAGGUAGGAAUACCCGCUGAACUUAAGCAUAUCAAUAAGCGGAGGA
rnacentral:misc_RNA from 1 species